rnacentral:rRNA from 1 species
GGCUCAGAUUGAACGCUGGCGGCAUGCCUUACACAUGCAAGUCGAACGGUAGAGUAGCAAUACUCGAGAGUGGCGAACGGGUGAGUAAUAUAUCGGAACGUGCCCAAUCGUGGGGGAUAACGUAGAGAAAUUUACGCUAAUACCGCAUACGAUCUAAGGAUGAAAGCGGGGGAUCGCAAGACCUCGCGCGAUUGGAGCGGCUGAUAUCAGAUUAGGUUGUUGGUGAGGUAAAAGCUCACCAAGCCGACGAUCUGUAGCUGGUUUGAGAGAACGACCAGCCACACUGGGACUGAGACACGGCCCAGACUCCUACGGGAGGCAGCAGUGGGGAAUUUUGGACAAUGGGCGAAAGCCUGAUCCAGCAAUGCCGCGUGCAGGAAGAAGGCCUUCGGGUUGUAAACUGCUUUUGUACGGAACGAAACGGCUCUUUCUAAUAAAGAGGGCUAAUGACGGUACCGUAAGAAUAAGCACCGGCUAACUACGUGCCAGCAGCCGCGGUAAUACGUAGGGUGCAAGCGUUAAUCGGAAUUACUGGGCGUAAAGCGUGCGCAGGCGGUUAUGUAAGACAGUUGU